GUCUUUAAAAUUAAAAGAUUUGGCGGUAUUUUAGUCUGUUCAGAGGAACCUGUUUUUUAAUCGAUGGUCCACGAUAAUAUUUACUUUAUUUUUGAAUUUAUAUAUCAUUGUUUAUAAAAAUUUUAGGAAAUAAUUUUUUCAGAUCAAGGUGUAGUUUAUAAUAAAGUUAGAAUGGGUUACACUAUAAAUUUAAAAUAAAUUGGAUUUGAAAGUAAGCUCUAAAAUAUGUACAUAUCGCCCGUCGCUUUCACUUUAAAGUGGAAUAAGUCGUAACAAAGUAGGUUUAUUGGAAAAUGAACCUAGAAGACAGAUUAGAGCUUGAUAAGUAUUUUAUUUACAUUAAAAGGAUAAUUGUGUUCAAUUUAAUUUGAAUAGAAGAUUUUAUUAGUUUUGUUUUUUAAUGAAUUUGAAUGAAGUAGAAUUGUUUUUUUAAUUUAGUAUGAAAUAAUGUUAUUAUAGUUGAUAGUAUUGUAGAAGAAUAAUUUUAUGUUUUUAAAAGUAGAUUUUAUUUGUUGUACCUUGUGUAUCAGGGUUAAUUAAUUUAAUUUUCCCGAUUUUAUAGGAGUUACUUUUACUGUUUUAUAAGUAUUAAUAAUUGAUAAGUGGGGGUGAAACGUUAUUCGUCUAUAAUUGUAUCUGGUUAUUUAAGAAAUAAAUUUAAUUAGUUUGAGAGUAAAUUUUAAUAUAGGGGAUAAGCUUUUAACUAAAUUUUUAUAAGUCUGAUAAAAAUUAAUUUUUUUAGGAUUGGAAUUUUCUAUUUAGUUUGUUAUAAAUAAUUUAAUUUUUUAUUAAAUUAUAAGAGUUAUUAUGUUUCUUUUAGCAAUAAUGAUUAAAUUAGUAAGGUUAGAUAAAGGAACUCGGCAAAUGUGAUUUUCACCUGUUUAUUAAAAACAUGUCCUUUUGAUAAUAAUUUAAGGUCGGGCCUGCCCAAUGAUUAAAUGGCCGCAGUAUAUUGACUGUGGAAAGGUAGCAUAAUCAUUAGUUUCUUAAUUAGGAGCUUGUAUGAAAGGUUUGAUGAGAAAUCAGCUGUCUCUAGAAUUUAAUUUUUAAGUCAGAAAGCUUAAAUUUUUUAGAAAGACGAGAAGACCCUAUAGAGUUUUUUGGUUGGGGUGAUUAAUAAAUUUAAUUAACUUUAUUUUUUAAUAGUUGUUUGAUCCUAGAUUGAAAGAGAAAAUUACCUUAGGGAUAACAGCGUAAUUUUUUUUGAAAGUUCUUAUUG
rnacentral:rRNA from 1 species